CCUACGGGCGGCAGCAGUGAGGAAUAUUGGUCAAUGGACGGAAGUCUGAACCAGCCAUGCCGCGUGCAGGAAGACGGCUCUAUGAGUUGUAAACUGCUUUUGUACAAGGGUAAACCUGAAUACGUGUAUUCAGCUGAAAGUACUUUACGAAUAAGGAUCGGCUAACUCCGUGCCAGCAGCCGCGGUAAUACGGAGGAUCCAAGCGUUAUCCGGAUUUAUUGGGUUUAAAGGGUGCGUAGGCGGAAUGAUAAGUUAGAGGUGAAAUGUCCGGGCUUAACUCGGGAACUGCCUCUAAUACUGUUGAUCUAGAGAGUUGAUGCGGUAGGCGGAAUGUAUGGUGUAGCGGUGAAAUGCUUAGAGAUCAUACAGAACACCGAUUGCGAAGGCAGCUUACCAAUCUAUAUCUGACGUUGAGGCACGAAAGCGUGGGGAGCGAACAGGAUUAGAUACCCCUGUAGUC
rnacentral:rRNA from 1 species